AGGAAAAGAGUAAGAAAAAAAUUCUAAACAUAGAUGAAGUUGCCUGAAGGAUGAUCUUAUUGGAGAUCUGUAAGAAGAAAUCAGGCAGGCACCUGUAAGUAACAAGAUAGGUGUGAUUAAUUGGACACUGGGGGGCUGAGGACCCUUCCAGCUCAAUUCAUUGGCUCUGUGAUGUAGAGCUUUCUCCUUGCCAUGAGAUCAUUAGGGAGAUGGGGCCAAGUGAAGGAAACCUAUUGAUAGGAGUCACCUUUGUGCUAUAGUGGUCUUUUUGGGAACAGACAAUAUAAAUGAGAAUGAAGAAAAUAUGUUAGACAGCCUGUUGGUGAUGGAGGACUUUGCUGAGUGUGUUCUCCCAGGCUGCAGCUGAUCUCAGUCCCUACAGCACCUUCUCAGCCCAGUGUCCAAGUGCUGGAGGAUGAGGAAUUACUUGUUACUGUGCAGGUGCAGCCUGUGGGCCUGAUUCUGCCUUCCAGGAAAUGAUGGGAAGUCACUGAGAUAACCCAUGCCAACAAAGGCCACAAGACUGUGUCAAGUGAACUCCCAUGUUGAAGAACAAAGGUUUGUUCUUAAGGUUGUGGUUUGCAGCUGAAGCCACCACCAACCGAGGACCAGCUGGCCUAUUCACCUAGAAAUGAGGAAAGGAACAAUUUUGAAUAUGGUGUUGCAUCUUGCAGAAUUUCCUUGCUGAAGCAGAAGGAGAGAUGAAGUACUACGGUAUUGCAAGCAGGGGUCCAACACUCACUUUCUCUUUAGUGGCCUGACCAUGAUCCCUCCAUCCAGUGGAAGAAGAAAGCAAAACAGCGUCACCAGAGCUCAGCAAUCUAGUCUCACCCCUGAAAAUCCUGGGACUGAGAGAUCCUGAAGUGUUUUCUGAAGUAUGUUGGUGUUUACCAACCUUGGACUUCAACAAGAGAAGCAGCAAUGGGGACUCUGGUGUGCAUGUACAUCUGAGUAUGUACAUGAACUCCCAUUAGAAGGGAGGGGGGAGAGAGAGAGAAAAAAACAAACAUGUGCCAGCAACAUUGCUUACAUCUCCUUUACCUGUUAAUGCCCCUGAAUAAUUACAGUGUUUAAAUAUUAGCCAUUCCUUCGGAUUUUUUUUUUUCUCUUUCAAAAUUAAUAUAUUUUUUUCAAGCUAAUUUGGGCCAGAAGGUUGCUCUUAUUUUGGAGCUGUGCCCCUCUGAAGCAACCAGGGUGUGUAUUUCUGCUGGCUGGGGCGGCAGUAGCCCCUUCCACCCCAUUUACCUUGGUGCAUACUGGCUUCAAGUGUUGUCUCACAGUGGGGACAAAGGACCUGUGCCAAUCAGUUUGGAAAGAUAAUUGACUUCGGACUGGUGACUGGUACUGUGGUGAUUCUGUUUGGUGAGCAAAAUAUUGACUUUCCCUGGUAGGAAAUGAAUAUUGUAGAAAUGACUUAAGUGUCUUUUUUUCCUUAUUCCUUUCUUUCU